AGAGUGAACGCUGGCGGUAGGCCUAACACAUGCAAGUCGAACGGCAGCACGGUAAGAGCUUGCUCUUAUGGGUGGCGAGUGGCGGACGGGUGAGGAAUACAUCGGAAUCUACCUUUUGGUGGGGGAUAACGUAGGGAAACUUACGCUAAUACCGCAUACGCCCUUCGGGGGAAAGCCGGGACCAGCAAUGGCCUGGCGCUGAUAGAUGAGCCGAUGUCGGAUUAGCUAGUUGGUGAGGUAAUGGCUCACCAAGGCGACGAUCCGUAGCUGGGUCUGAGAGGAUGAUCAGCCACACUGGGAAACUGAGACACGGUCCAGACCUCCUAGGGGAGCAGCAGGUGGGGAAUNUUGGACAA
rnacentral:rRNA from 1 species